rnacentral:rRNA from 1 species
CAGCACCUCAAGUGGUCAGGAUGAUGAUUGGGCCUAAAGCAUCCGUAGCCGGCGCUGUAAGUUUUCGGUUAAAUCUGUACGCUCAACGUACAGGCUGCCGGGAAUACUGCAGAGCUAGGGAGUGGGAGAGGUAGACGGUACUCGGUAGGAAGGGGUAAAAUCCUUUGAUCUAGUGAUGACCACCUGUGGCGAAGGCGGUCUACCAGAACACGUCCGACGGUGAGGGAUGAAAGCUGGGGGAGCAAACCGGAUUAGAGACCCGAGUAGUCC